AGCUAUGACAAUCCGUUUGUAUUGCUAGUACUCUAUGGAUUAGGAUUAUGGUUCAUUGUUUUGCUUAACAAAAGACUCCACUUCGCCAGAUAUUUACAUGACCCAUCAAGUUAGCCAGGUGUGUCUGGCGGUGAUUACGGCUAUUUAUUGUAUAAUAAUGCCAACAUAUUUAUAUCUGGAAUUUGUCUUUCAGCAUCAGUAGAACAUGCCUGACUCUCCUCCACUACUCAGGGAGAGGUCUAAUGCCUCCCAUCAAAAAGACAGCUGGCCCAAGCAAGCACAUGUUACACAUGAAGAAAUGAGGACUUGCAGUGAGUUGUGAACUUCAAUGCAAUAGUAUUACCAGGACGCCACCCAGGACACAAAUAUUUUGGUGGAAAGCUGCUGCCAUCCCAUGUGACAAAAGCAGCUGUGAGACGUCUUUACAAGGAAUCAAACACAACACUUGAGGUACGUGUAGUCGGGCUGUCUUCCUUAAGGAAUCUGUGGAGAAAAUUGCUGCCCCACAUCUCAAGCACUUAGCCCAGGACAGACCUGUGCUGGCAGUGCCAGAGGAACAGCUUUCAGGUCUUCAGAUCUGCCAAUCUGCCAGACAGGGGUUAACAUCCCACAGCUGGUUGGACUGGAGGAUGGUAUGGUGCUGGGGGAGAGCUAUGGGUUGCUAUAACACCUGACUCAGUACUUCAGGCCACUGCCACAGUUCAAGAAGAUACCAUCACUUCAGCUUCGAUGAUCUGGAGCCUGGUGUUGUUAUCGCGAAGGAGCGUUCUGACUGUCGGGACCAGGUUUCAGCUGCUGCGCCACGCUGACGUCCUUCCUCCCAUAGAUGGUCUGCCUGUACAAGCACCACCUGGACUGGACACAGCUAGACAAACGUAUCUUUUUGAGAAUAUCAGGGAGUUUUGCAACAAAGAGGCUAUGGACAUCCAAUGCCCUGCACCAAAGUCAGGGGCAGGACAGAAACAGUCUCUUAAAAUAUAGAUUAUCUUGUUCAUGCGUGGUUCAAAUGAACCAGUUCAUCACAGUGCCUCUAUUCAAAUGAUCUCUCCUAACACAUGUUGCUGCUACAAUUUUAUUUUUGUAUCCUGCUACUCAGCCACUUUACCCCUGAUUGUAUGCAUAUAACUACCUCAUCUAUCACUGAUAUCGUUACUGAUAUUAUUCUUGUACAUACUGUAUAUUAUAUUAUUUAUAUUGACAGUAUCUAUUUUUGAUUUUGCUACUAUGCAAGUAACCAUUUCCCUGUACCGUUUACACCUUCUGUAGAGACUCAUCCACUUAGCAAGAUGUGGCUGGGGGUUAUAGCAUUUCUUUCACAUGACCCAUUAAUUUAGACAAGUGUGUCUGGGUAAGUGUCAUCUAAUAUUCAUAAAAUAUUUCUAUUUACCUGGAAUUUUUCCUUAUUGUAGGCUACUACUUUUACCACUUUUAGGUUUAGUCUUUACUACACUACUCACUGAUUAGCACAUGACCUCACAUGUGAAUCCUUAAAGAGAUGGGUGGGGCUGGCUUAAGAGGGUGUGAACAAUGCUGAAUGGGUUUAGACAAAGAAGAGCUCUCCAGUAGGUUUACCAAACAAUUCAAGGGCCAUUUUCUCAAAAGUGAGGUUAUAAGUGCAGUGUAUGAUAUACCAUUUUCUAGCUCUGUGUCUCUGCUUUUAUCCAAUGUAAAAAAACACAAUUUCAAAGUUUGCUACAUCAGACCGAAUCAAGGCGGUUGGUCACAUUUAAGAAUGUGUUAUUCAAUGUGUUUCUCUGGGCUAUAGCAGUAAAGGCCAAAUUCAAUAUUUUAUCAAAUCUUUUUUUUAUACUUAAAGAAGUCCUCCCAUCCACCCUCCACCACUCCCCCUUAUGUUUCGGGGGCCGAUUAGCCACCAGUUACUGUCUGGGCCCCUAAUUAGUGACUGACUAGAUAAUAAAUAGCUCCACAACGCUCAGUCCUAGUUGCUGUGGUGAUAAGAGUGGGCGGAGAACACUCACGACAGAGACAGUACUAGAACACUUAGAUGGCGUCUCGGGACCCAAAGAUAAUGGUAUAAAGGCGUGCAUGUGUCCUCUGUGUGGGGUGUCGGCAGGUAGCCUGGCGGUGUUGGGGAUGGGGGCGCUGUUUAGACUAUUUAUGCUAAUUGGGUAAUUUUUGAAACGGCUUCCCACAAAAUCCUUGAUCGUACAAUAUGCAUAUUAUUAUUAUUAUUGGAUAGAAAACAGUCUAUAGUUUCUAUAGGAGUUGAAAUUUUGUCUCUAAGUGGAACAGAGCCCAUUCUACAGCAAUUUCCCUGACAUGGAUUCAGAUUUCAGAAAUGUUGGCCACUGUUCUGAAGUCAGUUAAAAGGGCACUCUUAUUGCUAUGACUGUACGGACACUUCUUACGUCUUCCCCUGGAUGCCUUUACGUGAUGACGAUUCCAAUGGGGUCGAUUGCGCGUUCACAGGCCCUAUAAAUCAAAAAACCCUGUAGCUAGCAAGUCUUUUCUUGGUGCGUCACGCGCGUGGAGGACACCGACCCUCUCCUGUUCCAAGCGUUAGUUUAGCCUGUUAUAUUUCUCCGGUCAUCUUUUCACUCGUUAUAGGAGUUAAAAACAUCAUAAGGUAGUUAAUUUAAAGCGUUUUAUAGCAAUUUAUAUCCGUUUAGU